rnacentral:tRNA from 1 species
GGUUGUGGCUCAGUGGUAGAGCACUUGCCUAGCACGUGUGAGGCCCUGGGUUCAGACCUCAGCACCA